rnacentral:rRNA from 1 species
AUUGAACGCUAGCGGCAUGCUUUACACAUGCAAGUCGAGCGAGUGGCGGACGGGUGAGUAAUAUAUCGGAACUGCCCAGUAGAGGGGGAUAACUACUCGAAAGAGUGGCUAAUACCGCAUACUAUCGGAGGGCCCAUAUCGGAUUAGCUAGUAGGUGGGGUAAUGGCUCACCUAGGCGACGAUCCCUAGCUGGUCUGAGAGGAUGAUCAGCCACACUGGGACUGAGACACGGCCCAGACUCCUACGGAGGCAGCAGUGGGGAAUAUUGCACAAUGGGCGCAAGCCUGAUGCAGCCAUGCCGCGUGUAUGAAGAAGGCCUUAGGGUUGUAAAGUACUUUCAGUGGGGAGGCGUUACCGACAGAAGAAGCACCGGCUAACUCCGUGCCAGCAGCCGCGGUAAUAC